GAUGAACGCUGGCGGCGUGCUUAACACAUGCAAGUCGAACGGAAAGGCUCCUGCUUGCAGGGGUACUCGAGUGGCGAACGGGUGAGUAACACGUGGGUGAUCUGCCCUGCACUUCGGGAUAAGCCUGGGAAACUGGGUCUAAUACCGGAUAGGACCACAUUUUGGAUGGUGUGGUGGAAAGUUUUUCGGUGUGGGAUGAGCUCGCGGCCUAUCAGCUUGUUGGUGGGGUAAUGGCCUACCAAGGCGUCGACGGGUAGCCGGCCUGAGAGGGUGUACGGCCACAUUGGGGCGGAGAUACGGCCCAGACUCCUACGGGAGGCAGCAGUGGGGAAUAUUGCACAAUGGGCGCAAGCCUGAUGCAGCGACGCCGCGUGGGGGAUGACGGCCUUCGGGUUGUAAACUCCUUUCGCUAGGGACGAAGCGUUUUUGUGACGGUACCUGGAGAAGAAGCACCGGCUAACUACGUG
rnacentral:rRNA from 1 species